GCAAAGAACUUUGAAAAGAGAGUGAAAGAGUACCUGAAAUUGCUAAAAGGGAACAGAUUGCAACUAGUGUGUUUCUUCAUAUUUUUCAUUUACAUUUUGUUUAUGUUUGUAUGUGAAACAAGUUCACAUCGAUAUGAUUUUUCUCAAACGCAUUGUUUGGAAGGUAGGCUCUUCGGAGUUGAAUGCAUUCAAUGACU
rnacentral:ribozyme from 14 species